rnacentral:rRNA from 1 species
UUUUAUGGAGAGUUUGAUCCUGGCUCAGGAUGAACGCUGGCGGCGUGCCUAAUACAUGCAAGUCGAGCGAACGGACGAGAAGCUUGCUUCUCUGAUGUUAGCGGCGGACGGGUGAGUAACACGUGGAUAACCUACCUAUAAGACUGGGAUAACUUCGGGAAACCGGAGCUAAUACCGGAUAAUAUUUUGAACCGCAUGGUUCAAAAGUAAAAGACGGUCUUGCUGUCACUUAUAGAUGGAUCCGCGCUGCAUUAGCUAGUUGGUAAGGUAACGGCUUACCAAGGCAACGAUGCAUAGCCGACCUGAGAGGGUGAUCGGCCACACUGGAACUGAGACACGGUCCAGACUCCUACGGGAGGCAGCAGUAGGGAAUCUUCCGCAAUGGGCGAAAGCCUGACGGAGCAACGCCGCGUGAGUGAUGAAGGUCUUCGGAUCGUAAAACUCUGUUAUUAGGGAAGAACAUAUGUGUAAGUAACUGUGCACAUCUUGACGGUACCUAAUCAGAAAGCCACGGCUAACUACGUGCCAGC